AAACGUAGGACGCAAGCGUUAUCCGGAGUUACUGGGCGUAAAGGGCGGGCAGGCGGUCUCGCAAGUGAGGUGUGAAAGCUCCCGGCUUAACCGGGAGAGGCCACUUCGGACUGUGAGGCUGGAGGGCAGUAGAGGUGCGUGGAAUUCCGGGUGGAGUGGUGAAAUGCGUAGAGAUCCGGAGGAACACCAGAGGCGAAGGCGGCGCACCGGGCUGCACC
rnacentral:rRNA from 1 species